GCGGGGGUAGGGGCGGAUGUAGCCAAGUGGAUCAAGGCAGUGGAUUGUGAAUCCACCACGCGCGGGUUCAAUCCCCGUCGUUCGCCC
rnacentral:tRNA from 1 species